CUUUGCUUGCCUCAAUCAAGACCCUCCCAAAACACACGGGUCUUCUCUCCCUGACAAGAAGUCAGGCCAGGGACACAGGGGGCAGGCAGCCCGCCUUCCUCUGCUGUUCCCAUGGACCCAUCGGUUCCUCUUGGCUUGUCUCAGCCACUGCAGACUUUGGAAGGUAGGUCCGCUCGCCACGACGCUGCCAACGCCUGCUGCCGCUGCAGACUUUGGACCUGAUUGUUUAUUUAGACUCACAGUGUCUCCUGCUCCUUCCUCGCCCAUGCCCUGCCUACCCGGGUGCCUGGUACCUGCGGGCUCCGCCCCUCUCUCAGGAGCACCCUGUGGCUGCGUGCUGUCUGCUUGUUCUUCUUGACACGACGCCUGCAUCUGUGGCAUUUGUUUUGUCCCUCUUGGAGAAACGGACUUGCCACGCCAACCCCUUGCCUGUCUGGGUCCCAUGCCUUCAAAGGGGGCCAGAUACGCCAUCCCAAAAUAUGCUCCUGUGGCAGGAGGACUAUGUUGGGCUGAAGGCAACUGAGAGAACGCGAACACAGGAAGGCCUCUCUGCUCUCCUGUUAUCUGCCUGAAACCAGGGCAUGGCCUCCCCUUGUGAAGGUGUCCCAGGCUUCUCCUGCACCACGAUGGGGAGAACAACCCUUAUCAUCAGAGACGGAGACUCUGCAAGGUGUACCAAGACAUAAACCGGACGGAUGGAAUCUGGAUCUGGAAGGUCAUCUCUGGCAAGCACCCCUCUGAUGAUGAAAUCCCUUCUAGAGCCUGUUGGCUAUUUCUGUACUGCUCUGGAUUUGGGAAGUUUUUCCUUAUGUUAAGCCAAAGACCCUAUUGCAAGUGUAGACAAAAUGAGUCUACACUCUCCCACGUGGUCACUCCCCACAUACGUGGAGACAUUCUAUCCUUUUCUCUGGGACCCCGACCUUCAACCCCCCUCCCCGCAGCUUGUAGCCUAAAAAAAAACCUCACCCCCACUGACUGUUUUAACUACACCCCUUCACCCCUUCACCCAAGACCCCUCCAUCUAUUCUCCAAAACUGGGGUCCCCAGGGCUGGGUCCUGGCCAUACUUCGUGGACCGCUCUAAGGGCUCUCCAGUCUCACUCAUGCCCGUGACUUGAAGCACCUUCAGUCGGCUCAUGUUUUCCAGAUUUAUACCUGCGGCCCUGACGCCCGGUCCCCCAUGCCAGACCCACAUCCCCAGUCAGCUGUUUGGGCCCUCCCUCGGAUGUCCCACCACCUCCCCCUGCACCUGCUCCCACCUGGACCCUCUCUCAGUGGGCAGCCCCCCCUUGGCCUGGGAGUCCUGCUGCUUUCUUCCUGCUCCCGCCUUGCCUCAAUUCCAGUGAAUCACAAGGCUUAUUGACGGUAUCUCCAAGGCUUGUGAGAUCCCUCCCACUCUCCACCCCCACAGCGCGGUUAUGGGAGCCUCCCCUCACUCCUUCUGAAAAACUCAUUGAUGAGUUCCCAUGGGACCCAGAAUAAUGUCAAAAUAUGAGCCAC